GCGCGAAAACUCCACACUGUACGCAAGUACGAUGGGGUUAUCUCGAGUGCAGUCCGAUAAGGGCUGCUUUUCCAUAGAGUAAUAUCCUGUGGGAAUAAGAGGGGGGCAAGACUGGUGUCAGCCGCCGCGGUAACACCAGCCCCUCGAGUGGUGGGGACUUUUAUUGGGCCUAAAGCGUCCGUAGCUGGCUGUAUCCGUCCCCCGUUAAAUCCAGCGUCCUAAACGUUGGACUGCGGGUGAUACCAUACAGCUAGAGGGUGGGACAGGUGAGCGGUAUUUCUGGGGUAGGGGCGAAAUCCUUUGAUCCCAGGAGGACCACCAGUGGCGAAGGCUGCUUACUAGAACACGCCUGACGGUCAGGGACGAAAGCUGGGGCAGCGAACCGGAUUAGAUACCCGGGUAGUCCCAGCUGUAAACGAUGCUAGCUAGGUGUUGGGUCGGCCACGUGCCGCCCCAGUCGCCGCAGGGAAGCCGUUAAGCUAGCCGCCUGGGGAGUACGGCCGCAAGGCUAGAAACGUUAAAGGAAUUGGCGGGGGAGCGACCACCG
rnacentral:rRNA from 1 species